rnacentral:rRNA from 1 species
AAUGGGGGAAACCCUGAUCCAGCCAUACCGCGUGAGUGAAGAAGGCCUUCGGGUUGUAAAGCUCUUUCAGCCGGAAAGAAAUCGUGCAGGCUAAUACCCUGUAUGGAUGACGGUACCGGCAUAAGAAGCACCGGCUAACUACGUGCCAGCAGCCGCGGUAGUACGUAGGGUGCGAGCGUUAAUCGGAAUUACUGGGCGUAAAGCGUGCGCAGGCGGUUUGGUAAGACAGGCGUGCAAUCCCCGGGCUUAACCUGGGAACUGCGCUUGUGACUGCCUCACUAGAGUACGGCAGAGGGGGGUGGAAUUCCACGUGUAGCAGUGAAAUGCGUAGAGAUGUGGAGGAACACCGAUGGCGAAGGCAGCCCCCUGGGUCGACACUGACGCUCAUGCACGAAAGCGUGGGGAGCAAA